rnacentral:rRNA from 1 species
AUGGGGUCAGAGGAACCUUCUAAUCAUAGACAGGCCAGCAAAGCGCACAAGUGGCGGUGUGCUAUGGAAGAGGAGCUUGAGUCGAUCAGGAGUAACAAGACUUGGCAGCUCACCACACUUCCACCUGGACAAAAACCUAUAGGCCUCAAGUGGGUUUAUAAACUGAAGAAGGAUUCAGCUGGAAGGGUUGUCAAGUACAAAGCACGCCUAGUAGCGAAGGGAUAUGUGCAACGUCCAGGGAUUGAUUUUGAAGAAGUUUUUGCGCCAAUUGCAAGACUCGAGACAGUGCGUUUGCUGAUAGCACUGGCAGCGCAAGAGAAGUGGGAGCUUCACCACAUGGAUGUCAAGUCUGCAUUUUUAAAUGGCGAUCUGUCCGAGGAGGUGUAUGUCACCCAGCCACCUGGGUAUGAGAAGAAAGGCGAUGAGGAUAAGGUGCUAAAGUUGAGCAAGGCUCUCUAUGGGCUGCGACAAGCACCGCGUGCCUGGAACUCAAAACUUGAUCAGACACUAGUCUCAACGGGGUUUGAAAAAUGCCCAUUAGAACAUGCUGUCUACAAGAAAUUCAGUGGGAACUCAACUCUGCUGGUUGGGGUGUAUGUGGAUGACCUCAUAAUUACAGGAGGCAGCAGCAAGGAGAUUGCUGAGAUCAAAGAGCAGAUGAAAAGGAAAUUCUGCAUGAGUGAUUUGGGCCUGCUAAGCUAUUAUCUUGGGAUUGAGGUAAAACAAACUCAAUCUGCUAUCACCAUUAGCCAAUCCUCUUAUGCAGCUCGGAUUCUGGAGAAGUGUGGUAUGGCAGAUUGUUAUUCAACCAAAGUUCCCAUGGAGCCAAGGCAGAAAUUGAGCAAGCAUAGUAAGAAUCCUCCUGUUGAUGCGACGAUGUAUCGUAGCAUUGUUGGUAGCUUGCGCUACCUAGUCCACUCUCGCCCUGACAUAGCAUACGCAGUUGGCAUUGUGAGUCGAUUCAUGGAGUCACCCACAACAGAGCAUAUGGCUGCCGUCAAACAGAUCUUGAGGUAUGUUAAAGGUACUCUGGAUUAUGGAGUUGUUUAUAAGUUCAGUGAAAUGGGACUGUAG